rnacentral:rRNA from 1 species
AGCGAACGCUGGCGGCAGGCUUAACACAUGCAAGUCGAGCGGGCACUUUCGGGUGUCAGCGGCGGACGGGUGAGUAACGCGUGGGAACGUGCCCUCUGGCUCGGAAUAACUCAGGGAAACUUGAGCUAAUACCGGAUACGCCCUUUUGGGGAAAGGCUUGCUGCCGGAGGAUCGGCCCGCGUCUGAUUAGCUAGUUGGUGAGGUAACGGCUCACCAAGGCGACGAUCAGUAGCUGGUCUAUGAGGAUGAGCAGACACACUGGGACUGAGACACGGCCCAGACUCCUACGGGAGACAGCAGUGGGGAAUAUUGGACAAUGGGCGCAAGCCUGAUGCAGCCAUGCCGCGUGAGUGAUGAAGGCCUUAGGGUUGUAAAGCUCUUUUAUCCGGGACGAUAAUGACGGUACCGGAGGAAUAAGCCCCGGCUAACUUCGUG